CUCCCUCGUACUAGUGCCCACGCACUUCCGCCUCCAUAUCAAUCACUCAUGACAAGUGAUGAUUCGAAUAUUCUUGAUUUCUAUCCUGAUGCGAAUGCUCAAGUUUCCUGCCUUAAAUCAACAAAGAAUCGAUUGGGCUCACGAUUCCUCUUUUUCCUAGUGAAAGUGGUGUAGAUCAGCUGGUUAAUUGAGAAUUAGAUGAUACUUUGAAGACUUGACAGGAUAUGAUUUAGCAGUUGUUGUGUCAAAAGAAUUCGCCACUGCUUUUCCUGAUCGCACUUUCAUCUCUCCUGUAGUUGACCUUCUUACUAAAAAUGGGCAAAAUGGUAAAAACAAUGGAAAAUGGUAUUAUGUGUAUGAAAAAGGUAGCAAACCAAAACCUGAUAAUAUGGUGUUACUAGUUAUAGAAGAGUCAAGAAGGGUAGCCAAUCUUAUGUGUAACUACCCAAAAAUACUACCCAAAAAUUUCUUUUAAUAAAACAUUACUUUAAACAAAGUAAUCAUUUCAAAACAUAAUUUGAGUAUAAGUUUUCAAAACACAUAUUCAUUAUCAGAGUAAACAUUCCCAGGCUGACUAAUCUAUGGUGUGUGCCAUGCGAUCACCCCGAGCUCCUCCCUCCGCUACCGGAAGUACCUGAAAACAAAACUGAAAACCGUAAGCACGAAGCUUAGUGAGUUCCCCACCAUACCAUAUACCAUGCAUAACCACAUACUGUACAUACUGGGCCACGCUCGCUAUCCGGGGACUCGCCCCCUACUUCGGGCCUCGCCCGCUACAACGGCCCCGCCGCUCCAGGCCCCGCCUGGCUUCGAGCCCCGCUCGGAUACAGAUCUGUUUCACUUAGGCCUCGCCUGUCACAGGGCCCCGCCCACUAACAUAUAAUAACACAUACAUAUAUCACAUGACAUCACAUAAGCUAAACAUACACUAACAGCUCUUGCUCUAAGGCCUCGCCUAUCUCCGGGCCCCGCCCGUGUCCUGCUACUGAUGAGUCAUGGAACCUCGUCCAUACUCCUGCUGAUAGUGAAAUACGGGCCCGCCCGUCCCCACUCCUUUCCUAACUUGGGCCUCGCCCCUGGACUGCUACUACUGAGAUGUGGAACACCAUCCACAUUCUGCUAUUGGUGAGAUACGGGACCUCGCCCCCACUCACCUCCCUACCAGGCAUAUACAAGUAUCACACAGACAACAAGUAUAAACUAUCACAUAAACCACUCCUUGGGCACCCGCCCUCUAUCAUUGGACCUCGUCCGAAUACCAUACUAGCAUACUGUGCCUAGGGCUAACCCCCGGGUCUUCUACUCACAACUACAUGGGCCGGCAUUGUGGCCGUAGACCCAUUCAUACAAAGGGAAACUCACCUGAUACUGCUGAACUGCUGCUGCUUAUCCCUUUGACCGCUACCCGACCACUGACUCCGAACUGCUGCUCCACUAGCUCCCCGAGCUACCAAUAUCAACACAUUACUUAGUCUAACUGACCUUCAAAGGUCAACCAAGUCUACCCUUGCCAAAGUCAAAGUUCUGGUCAAAGUCAACCUUCCAGGUCAACCCUACUCGCCGAGUCCACUUACUGACUCGCCAAGUUCUUAUGCUCAAAUUCCUUCCAAUCACGAGUUGACUCGCCGAGUCAGCACCUGACUCGCCGAGUCUACAGAUUCCUGAAUCCUGUCCUGACCAACUCACUGAGUCCUUGCUCGACUCGCUGACUCGAGUCUUAACUCGAAGGGUUUGGGACUACGCGACCUGACUCACCGAGUCUAAGAACAGACUCGCCGAGCACAAAGCAAUCUUCAUCCAACUCGCCGAGUUGUUCAUCCAACUCGCCGAGUUCAUGCCCAUCUUCAUCCGACUCGACGAGCUGUUCAUCCCACUCGUCGAGUCCACUCAAAGGACUCGCCAAGUCCAUUCAGAUCUACAUACAUGCAGAGGACUUUCGAGUCAUGCAUGGACUCCAAACUGUAGAUCUACCCUUCCCAAGCCUAUCCCCCACGUAAAGUUGCAAACUUUACGUGUAGAAAUGGAGAUCUAGGAAAAAUGCACCAUAAACUAGGGUUUAAGGCCAAAGGGCUCCAAAAUCCAUUCAAUGGCUGAUACUUUACGGGAUUCUAAACCAAAACAAGCAUGGAUCUGAGGUAGCAACCUCAGAUCUGGACCUCAAGCUCGAGAUUGAUCUUAAACAUGGCUUAAAAGCCCCAAAACUCAUAACCAAAGAAGAUCUAAAGGAGAGGAACGACUUAAUACCUUCAAAUGCUCAGAAAUGUUCCCCAAACUUCGGAUCCAAGGCGACUCCUUGAUGCUUCAAAGAUUCCCACUUCUUCUUCUUCCUUAAAACUACUCAAAAAUGGCUAAAAGCUUGAAUGAGCACAAUGGAGGCUUGGGGUGCGGCGUUCUGGGUUGGAGAGGUAGUAAAGGAGCCCUAGGAAGAAGAAUAAGGCGAUUAAAUAGGCUCCAAGCCCCGGAUUUAGGGUUUUCCUCGCACAGACCCUACUCGCCGAGUCGCCUUGGCCGACUCGCCGAGUUGGUCCCUUAGUCCUCGACACAGAAUCCCGCUCGGACUCGCCGAGUCCUUCCUAAAUUUAGGGUUUCCUUACUUUCUUGGCUUUCAAAAUCUUGGGUGUUACAACUCUCCCCCACUUAAACUAAACUUCGUCCUCAAAGUUUACCAUGGCUCACCGCCUGCUAUUUGCCUCCAAUACCCCACCAAUUGUUCCAACACCAGCUGGCUACCUUCGCUGGUCUUCCGCUCGAUCAUUCUGACUAGCAUCAAUCCUUGCGGUUAAUCAUCUCGGGUCAACCCUAACCCUGAACAUUCUGGAAACACAACUUACUCAACCGACAAUCCUUUUGGUACUCUCCAAGUACUGCAACUAAACCUAUAGGGGUUCACCCCUUCUUUCCUCACGCGAUUCCCUUGCCUUCCCAAGGCGAUGCUCCAAAAACAACUAUUUCCUCUGACAUUGUGAAGAUCCUAUCUUCACCAUUCCAUUAUUCCCGCUAAAUUCAGUACAGGUCAUCACCGCCAGUAACCACUAACACUCCUCUCUUGACAUAACUUGGUGUCGAGCAUUCCCUGACUCAACUAACUAAGUUCCACCACAACCCGCUUUCCCGCACUACUACUGACCGGAUAUUUCUGCCUUUCCUCAUCUGCCUUCCGAAUGAACUGAGACCACUCUGGUCCCUACCAACCUAUCAAUAUCUGGAUUACCGGCUCCCACCUGUAGCUGGUCCCAACACCAACACUAGUCGCUCUCAGCAACUUCCAAAGAAACCUCGACUACCUAUAACUGCUCAAACAAUUUUGCCACUCAGGCACUACAACCUGGGAUCCCCGAUCCCCUAACUUGACACUAAGGUCCCUACCAGGUCCCACCUGUGCUGCUAAAACUCACAGGCCUCGCCCACGGGUCCCACCUGCCUCUAUCCUUCUAGUCCCACUAGUCUAUUCACCCUCGCUCGGGCCUCGCCCAUGGGUCCCACCCAACCAUACUAUUGAGCAACCCUGCUCCCAGGUCUUAUCUACACUGCUAAUCUCAUACGGGCCUCGCCCACGGGUCUUACCCAACUAUAUCCUAGAGCGGCCUCUCCCAAGGUCUCACCUUGCUAGGGCUAUACAGGCAACUCCCUAUCAUCCUCAUCCACUAUCCAUCCUGAUUCCCAUCUGAUCACUAGGAAAUAAGGGCCUCGCCCCAACUCCGCUAACGAAGCGACUAAGGAACGCUACGGCUUACCCAUAGUCUUACAUCACCACCCAUUGCUGACUGCUAGUGAAUGCUACGGCUGCCCCGUAGUCUUACAACACUUCCACCACUGUUUGCUAAUACAAAGGCACCCAUGCGCCAUCAGCUCUCAAGAUCCUCAUUUCGACUCCCUCGAGUCCUACGGGCGAUCCACGAUCUAAAUCCCCAACCACGAACUAACCAUUACCAUCACACGCACUAGCUGAUGGGGAGUUUCUCAAACUCCCAACCCUGAAAUCCUCAAUCCCUCAAACGCUGAACUACUUCCUUUCCUCCUCGGAGAUCGCGCACUCAUUCUGGGUCUGCGUGCUCCUCUCUGGGGCACACUCAGAGGAUUCUCCCCCACUUCGAUCCUGCUUACCCCUUGCUGCUCGAUACUCAAAAGAAAUCCCCAUCCUUGCUACCAUCCUGUAAUCGACCUGCUAAGGAACCCAAGCUUACCAUAGCUAGGGAUCUAGCCAAUCCAUCUCUGACACUACACAACCCCGAUCUAGAGAGACAUACCAAAUCCCUCUCAAGCAUGCUACAGCUACUGCAUCCUACGUAACCUUCUCCAAUAGAACACAUCCCCUAACUACCAUACAAAUAUCCAAGGUAUGCAGAUGGCAUAUAACCCGAUCACAAUCAACCACUCAAAACAAAAUACUCACACCGAUAAUGAUGCAGAACCAUAACAAUAUAAUCAUGCACAAAAUAAAAGGACUGAAAAUGGAAAUUGCAUACUUGCAACGUCCGGCGUCGCUCGCACCUCCAAGGUCGUCAUCUGAAAAGCCCUGCUCCCUGCUGCAGGUGCCUCUACCCGGCCCUGACGGCCCUUCGUGAUCCUCAAGGUUGCAGGGGCGGGUGCUAUCACCGUCCUGCCGAAGACAAACUGGGGCACUGGGCCUUCUUGUGGCCCCGCUGGUUGCAAUGAAAGCAUAUCAAGUCUGAUCCCUGCGCGGCGGUAUCAGUGCAAUCCCUGCUGAAAUGACCAGUCCGACCGCACUUGAAGCAGCCAGACUCACCACCGCUACCACUCCUGCACGCGCCCCCGUGCGCCCUGCCACACUUUCCGUACCGACUGCGGUCCUGAUGAUCCCUCGAUCUCGAAUCCGAUCCCUUGGGCCUUUUGCCCGAACCCGCAGCUACUUGAACUUCAUCCGGCUUCCUCUUCCGGAUUUGCUCCAAAUCAAUCUCCCUUUCUCUAGCCCGAGAAAUCAUAUCUUCCAGCGUCUUACAGCUGGAUCUGCUCACGAACUUCCUGAUGUCAUCCCUCAACAUCUCAUGAUAUCGGGCCUUCUUCAUCUCCUCGUCCGCGACAUACUGCGGUACAAGAAGAGCCCUCUCCCUGAACUUGGCGGUGAUCUCCGCCACCGUCUUAAUAGUCUGCGUCAAAUCCUGAAACUCUCGUGCCAGCUGCUGCACCUCAAUCAUUGGCGAAAACUCCGCCCUGAACCUGGCCGAGAAAUCGCUCCAAGUGAUCGCGUCCAGCGCGGCAUCAUCUCCCAAAGCAUGACCAAUCUCCUCCCACCAAUCCCUCGCUCUGUCCUUCAGAAGACAGGAAACGAGUCUAACCUUGUCCCCCUCGGGACACUUGCUCGUACGAAAAGCGUUGGCAACAUCAGCCAACCAUCUGCUGCUAGCAAUGGGGUCCCUAGCCCCAUGAUAAUCUGGUGCCCCGCAGGCUCUGAACUCUCGAAAUGUCAGAGUACGCGCUCCCAUCAAUGCCAUCAUCUCAGUAUGGAAGGCUCCCAGCCUCUUAUCCAAGAUCUCUAGUAUACCCUCCUUGACCGUGCCAAAGAUCCCAGGAGUCUGAGCUAGAAUACUACGCGUAACCUCAGCUGAUAUCAACUCUCUCAUCCGCUCCUCGAGCUGAUUGGCCCCUGAACCCGAGCCUGAUCCCUCUCCGGCGCCUGACCCGCCCGCUGGUCUCUCUCUCAAUGUCACCAUGCUGAAAAUAUACCACAACCACUAUCAGAAUACUCAUCACUGAUACGAGAUCAAACAUACCCUACCUGGUUCCCGAUCUUGUCUCGGCUCUUCCCGAAUCGAGUACGGAUCCUCUACUUUCAGUAGUACGGGCCCAUACUACCUUCCACAUCUACCCGUACUUUCCUCAGGAAUUGCUUUGACUCCACCAGAUCCCUUAACCACUACUACUGCUCCCAGCAUUAUCUCAUCCUAGGCUUACCCUAGGGAAACCUUUGACUCAACUCAAACCAGUCCUCAGCUACUGAAGGUCUCCUCGUGAUGCCAAUUAGCCAUCACCUGGAUACCAUCACAUGCGACAAGGCUCAGAUAAUCCUUCAAGUAAAAGACUCGUCCCUACAACGGUUGGACUCAGACAACAACUGCGCAAUAGAACCAAAUCCAGCACUCUGAGAUUAUUCAACCCUGAUCGCAUGGGAUGUGUCGUAUCCACCUAAUGGCUAACUCCCAUCACUCAGAAUCCCACAAUGCACAAAGCAAGUAGCAUUCGAACAAGGGAAAAUCUAACCAUAACUUACUCCAGCAAUCAUAUCCACAUAGCAAGAAUCUGAACUAGCAUGCAACACAAAUUCAUAACUCAGGCAUAACCUAAACAGGCUAUCCUACUACUAUCUAAUCAGCACUACUAUGCAGCUCAAAAGCACAAAUAACAGGCACAUAAGGCAUCAUCCCUAGAUCCUUAGUCCUAUUCUAGCAUGCUGUUCUAUCAACUGAUAAUCAUAACAUAAACUUGUAUGAGUAUUUUGGGGUACUUACUUGAGCUCGGUUGAUUGCAUGCACCACACCCUUUUCUCUAUUCAAAGUUCUUUCUUUUCUGAAUUAUUUUUUCUUUUCUAAAAUUGUUUUCUUCCCAAAACUCUCUCUUACAAAACUGACUUUUCAUUUUUGAAAACUUUUUAUCCGACCCCUCAGUUUGAGUUCAGACACACCCGAGAAUAUGCCCGGAUCCCUCAAACCAAGGCUCUGAUACCAACUUGUAAUGACCCAAAAAUACUACCCAAAAAUUUCUUUUAAUAAAAUAUUACUUUAAACAAAGUCAUCAUUUCAAAACAUAAUUUGAGUAUAAGUUUUCAAAACACAUAUUCAUUAUCAAAGUAAACAUUCCCAGGCUGACUAAUCUAUGGUGUGUGCCAUGCGAUCACCCCGAGCUCCUCCCUCCGCUACCGGAAGUACCUGAAAACAAAACUGAAAACCGUAAGCACAAAGCUUAGUGAGUUCCCCACCUUACCACAUACCAUGCAUAACCACAUACUGUACAUACUGGGCCACGCCCGCUAUCCGGGGCUUUGCCCCCUACUUCGGGCUCGCCCGCUACAACGACCCCGCCGCUCCAGGCCCCGCCUGGCUUCGAGCCCCGCUCGGAUACAGAUCUGUUUCACUUAGGCCUCGCCUGUCACAGGUCCCCGCCCACUAACAUUGAAACAACCCAAAAAUACGACCCAAAAAUUUCGUUUUUCAAUAUAACCAAAAACCAUAAUCUGAGUGUCAUAUCAUAAAGCCAUACGUGAUGUAUCCCAAAGAGAAUAAAAACAUUGUGCGGAAAACUGUAUCAUACUAUGUCAUAACAAAUCAAAAAAACUAAAUCAACUCCCAGGAUAAAAGCUGAGGCUGUGGUGUGUGCGAUGCCAUCAUCCCGAGCUCUUCCCUCUGCUUGCGGAAGUACCUGAAACCAAAACUGAAACUGUAAGCACGAAGCUUAGUGAGCUCCCCCAAACUACCACAUACCAUACAAUACAUAUAUAAAGCACAUACUGGGCCUUGCCCACUGCAUCAGACCGAAGUCUGGAACUAGCUGCAUCAGACCGAAGUCCGGAACUGUCUGGGACCUUGUCCCCUGCACCGGACCAAAGUCCGGAACUGACUGCAUCGGACCGAAGUCCGGAACUGACUGCAUCGGACCGAAGUCCGGAACUGACUGAUCAUGGCAUAGCAUAAAACAUAACAACUAUUAUAAUCACAUAUACUGCAUACUGCAUCGGAACAGAGUCCGGAACACAUAACACAAAUAUGCUUGAAUCACAAAGACAUCAAGCACUCUAGCUACUACAUCAGACCAAAGUCCGGGACUACUGCUAAUUAAACGGGCCGGCAUUGUGGCCGUAGACCCGUUCCUACUGAAAGGAAACUCACCUCGUGAACUGAUUGCUGUGUGUAUGGCUCUGGAAGCUAACUGCUGCUUCUCCGGUAUCUCCCCGGCUACAAGUCCAUAAACACACUCAAUCAAAUACUAAACACUGCACUGGUUAAAAUGACUCUUUUACCCUUGGUCAAAGUCAACUCUAGGUCAAAGUCAACUCUUGGUCAAAGUCAACCCACAGUUGACCUGACUCGCCGAGUUGGGCCGCCAACUCGCCGAGUCUCUAAUCUCACUUCUCAAUCCUACUCGCUGCUACUCGCCGAGUAUGGCAUCGACUCGACGAGUACCCUCUCGAUCCAAAAACUCAGAAAAUCUUCAUCCGACUCGCCGAGUCAUAUGAACAACUCGACGAGUUGUUCUUGAGCUUAAGAAGAUUGCCUUGGACUCGCCGACUUGUAUGAACAACUCGCCGAGUCCCUCCAUUACUGAGUCUACCCUCAAACUCGCUGAAAAGGAAGAAAUCGGGGACUCGCGACUCGACUCGCCGAGUCGUUCUUCCGACUCGCCGAGUCACCGCCAUGCAACUAUUCUACACUCGAUUCUGCUCGAAUCCAAUACAUACAAAUGAUAGAUCUGAGUCCAAUAAGCUGAUUUACCACGUAAAGUUUCCAACUUUACGUGUACAACACAUGAACAAGGGAAUAAAGGCUAAAAGAUGCUUAAAAGGGGUAGAUCUAGGGUUAAUAUGCAAAAUAGCUCCAUAAAGGCAAUAGAUUUGGGCUCUACAACUCCUAAAUGAACAGAUCUAAGGAUAUCUCGGCAUAAUAGAGCUUCCAUAUCAACAUAAGGCUUGAGAAAAGCUUCAACAAGAUCUAGAAAGGGUUUUAAAGCAUAAAAGGGAAGGAAAUCUGAAGAAUACCUCAAAGAGCUCUUGCUUUCCCUUGAAUCUCUGCUCUACAAUCCUUCUCCUUGCUCCUUUCUUCUUCUCCUUCUUCAAGCCUUCACAAAUGCACACAAGAUCACUUAAAACACUCAAGAUCGAAUUAGGGUUUUCUCACAGCUUUUGAGGGUGAAGGAGGCGAGAUUGGGGGCUAUAAGGUGGCUUAAAUAGUGGGCAACCCGGGGAUUUAGGGUUUCUCCCAGACGGACAGACUCGCCGAGUCCAGAAUAUGGACUCGCGGAGUCGCCAGCUAACACGUGCUCGAAAUCCCGACCCUACUCGGCGAGUCAGGCUAUGAACUCGCCGAGUCCCUGUUGCAAAACUUCAAAAUAAAUACCAAGGAAUUAUCAUACCAGAGACGGGUCGUUACAAACAUAUAAUAACACAUACAUAUAUCACAUAACAUCACAUAAGCUAAACAUACACUAACAGCUCUUGCUCUAAGGCCUCGCCUAUCUCCGGGCCCCGCCCGUGUCCUGCUACUGAUGAGUCAUGGAACCUCGUCCAUACUCCUACUGAUAGUGAGAUACGAGCCCCGCCCGUCCCCACUCCUUUCCUAACUUGGGCCUCGCCCCUGGACUGCUGCUACUGAGAUGUGGAACACCAUCCACACUCUGCUAUUGGUGAGAUACGGGACCUCGCCCCCACUCACCUCCCUACCAGGCACAUACAAGUAUCACACAGACAACAAGUAUAAACUAUCACAUAAACCACUCCUUGGGCACCCGCCCUCUAUCAUUGGACCUCGUCCGAAUACAAUACUAACAUACUGUGCCUAGGGCUAACCCCCCGGGUCUUCUACUCAUAACUACAUGGGCCGGCAUUGUGGUCGUAGACCCAUUCAUACAAAGGGAAACUCACCUGAUACUGCUGAACUGUUGCUGCUAAUCCCUUUGACCGCUACCCGACCACUGACUCCGAACUGCUGCUCCACUAGCUCCCCGAGCUACCAAUAUCAACACAUUACUUAGUCUAACUGACCUUCAAAUGUCAACCAAGUCUACCCUUGCCAAAGUCAAAUUCCUGGUCAAAGUCAACCUUCCAGGUCAACCCUACUCGCCGAGUCCACUUACUGACUCGCCGAGUUAUUAUGCUUAAAGUCCUUCCAAUCGUGACUUGACUCGCCGAGUCAGCCCCUGACUCGCCGAGUCUACAUAUUCCUGAAUCCUGUCCUGAUCAACUCACUGAGUCCUUGCUCGACUCGGUGACUCGAGUCUGAACUCGAAGGGUUUGGGAUUACGCGACCUGACUCGCCGAGUCUAAGAACAGACUCGCCGAGCACAAAGCAAUCUUCAUCCAACUCGCCGAGUUGUUCAUCCAACUCGUCGAGUUCAUGCCCAUCAUUAUCCGACUCGACGAUCUGUUCAUCCCACUCGUCGAGUUCCUCCUCAUCUUCAAGCCACUCGUCGAGUCCACUCGAAGGACUCGCCGAGUCUAUUCAGAUCUACAUACAUGCAGAGGACUUUCGAGUCAUGCAUGGACUCCAAACUGUAGAUCUACCCUUCCCAAGCCUAUCCCCUACGUAAAGUUGCAAACUUUACGUGUAGAAAUGGAGAUCUAGGCAAAAUGCACCAUAAACUAGGGUUUAAGGUCAAGGGGCUCCAAAAUCCAUUCAAUGGCUGAUACUUUACGGGAUUCUAAACCAAAACAAGCAUGGAUCUGAGGUAGCAACCUCAGAUCUGGACCUCAAGCUCGAGAUUGAUCUUAGACAUGGCUUAAAAGCCCCAAAACUCAUAACCAAAGAAGAUCUAAAGGAGAGGAACGACUUAAUACCUUCAAAUGCUCAGAAAUGUUCCCCAAACUUCGGAUCCAAGGCGACUCCUUGAUGCUUCAAAGAUUCCCACUUCUUCUUCUUCCUUAAAACCACUCAAAAAUGGCUAAAAGCUUGAAUGAGCACAAUGGAGGCUUGGGGUGCGGCGUUCUGGGUUGGAGAGGUAGUAAAGGAGCCCUAGGAAGAAGAAUGAGGCGAUUAAAUAGGCUCCAAGCCCCGGAUUUAGGGUUUUCCUCGCACAGACCCUACUCGCCGAGUCGCCUUGGCCGACUCGCCGAGUUGGUCCCUUAGUCCUCGACUCGGAUCCCGCUCGGACUCGCCGAGUCCUUCCUAAAUUUAGGGUUUCCUUACUUUCUUGGCUUUCAAAAUCUUGGGUGUUACAUUAUGCCACAAGGAAAGACUGUAGCCAUGACUGAUGAAGAAAUAGUAGAGAUGGUGCUGUUUCCUGUGGUGAAUGAAGCAUGUUGUGUUUUAGAGGAACAAAUUGUUGUUAAAGCAUCCGAUCUUGACAUUGCAUUUGUUCUUGGAAUGAGUUUUCCUUCAUAUCGUGGUGGCAUUGUUUUUUGGGCAGAUGUUGUUGGGAGUAAACACAUAUACAUGUCUGAAAAAAUGGUUUUAAAAAUAUGGCAACUUUUAUAAACCAUCAAGAUUAUUGGAAGAAAGAGCCAUGAAUGGUGUCCCAUUGAGUGCACCUAUAAAUACGGGUUCUAGAGCACGUAUGUAAGCAAGGGUAUACAACUAUAUGUUCAUGGGUUGACUUAUAUGAAGCUAAGUAUGAUAUGAAACAUGAUACUUUGGUAACUUUGAUAGUUUUUGUAUUAUAAUGUUUGGUUGUAUCAUUAUUUGUUGUUUUUUAGUAUAAUAAUUUGAUGAUUGUAGUAUUUUUUCUUUUAUAAUCAUAAUAAAAAAAAUGAUAUUACAA